AAAUGGUCUUACCUUCCACAACAUCGAUCCAUUUCAUUCAAACUAGUUGUUAUUGGACUUCGUGCUUUUUUGUGUGCAGUUUUUUCGUUACAUUUUUACUCUCUCUUCUAUGAUUUAUGAACACAAUGGUGGCCCAACCUCCCCAUGCAUCCUGCUUGGACUCAUCUGGCGAGUGCGGUUCAGAGAGAUGAUCAUUUCAAGGCACGGAGCAGGCCUCCACAUUAAAGUUGCAGAGGGAUGAAGAUUGUACCUUUCGCAUGAAAGAAGCAUUCAUCUUCUUUUCAUGAAUCCACCAGC
rnacentral:lncRNA from 1 species